GUUCCCAUAUUUCCCUCUUUUCUCCACCAGAUGGCGGCUUUCCCUCAUUCUCCGGGCUUUCUAGCCAGCAUUUGCAAAAGCCGCCGCUGAACCCGGAAGGGGUUCUGUUGUGAUCCAUCCGCAAUCCCGUCCUACACACAGAGCACUUGGCUCCUGCUAACCACAGCGACAAUCAUAAUAGGAACUACCAGCUGUAUAAAUUUCUGGGUUUUAUGCUGGUGUCCCAAAGUCACACGUUUCAGUCUCUCCUGCUUGACUUAAUCAACUCAAGAAGCCAGGAAGAAAGGUCCAGAGGAGGGCCCGCCAUGAGCGAAGGGCGAAGGGCGGGGAUGAGAGGAGAGACCCCCCCCCCCCAGGCGUGGAACUUUUAAAAGGAAACCUAUCUAUUAGGGGAAACCCCACGACAUGGACCCUCAGCGCCAGAACUUCAAGUGGAAAAAAAAAAAAAGAACAACACAUUUGCUCAAUCCUGACCCGCCAUCCGGCUAAAACUGAGGUCAGCCUGACCCUCAGGCGUGCAUGGUAAUUACAGGAACCCUAACUCACCGGCCAUGGUUCUGCAUGGCGACACAGCUGUGCCCUAGCCUUACUGAACUUCAUAUCCUGUCAUGCUGGCUAACAGCCAUCCCAGCCACGUCACCGGGAUACAUCAAACUUGUGGUUUUGCCUCUAUAACCCCUGCUCACUGAGCUCCGGGCCUCUUUAGACACGUGAUCACAGGAGGGCAUGCUCCUGGCCGGGCCUGGGUGGCUCAAUAAAACCUUCAGAUCCAUGAGGAGAUCGUCCUGCUCUCCUUCUCUUGGUGAGAAAACGACUACAACGGAUGACGUAACUAGAAAACAUGACUUUUAUGUCAGGUGUGGUGCAUGCCUUGGAUCCCAGCACACGGGUAGAAGCCAGCCUCUGCUACGUAGCGUGUUUGAGACUAACCUGGGCUGUGCUGUGUGAGUUUGUCUUAAAAAUAAACAAAAACAAACAAAAUAAAACGUUAAACACUUCUCAAAAAUAAAAA